AGAGUUUGAUCCUGGCUCAGAAUGAACGCUGGCGGCGUGCUUAACACAUGCAAGUCGUACGAGAAAUUCUUUGUUCGCAAAGAAGAGUAAAGUGGCGCACGGGUGAGUAACGCGUGGGUAAUCUGCCUUUAAACCUGGGAUAACAUUGCGAAAGUGAUGCUAAUACCGGAUGAUAUUUUGAAUUUUUAGGAAUUUAAAAUUAAAGAAGGCCUCUGUUUUUAUAAGCUUUUGUUUAAAGAGGAGCCCGCGUACCAUUAGCUAGUUGGUAGGGUAAUGGCCUACCAAGGCGACGAUGGUUAGCUGGUCUGAGAGGAUGAUCAGCCACACUGGAACUGACACACGGUCCAGACUCCUACGGGAGGCAGCAGUGGGGAAUUUUGCGCAAUGGGGGAAACCCUGACGCAGCAACGCCGCGUGAGUGAUGAAGGCUUUCGGGUCGUAAAGCUCUGUCGAGUAGAAAGAAGUUAUGGUAAAUUAAUACUUUAUCAUAUUGACGGUACUACUAAAGGAAGCACCGGCUAACUCCGUGCCAGCAGCCGCGGUAAUACGGAGGGUGCAAGCGUUAUUCGGAAUCAUUGGGCGUAAAGGGCGCGUAGGCUGUUUAAUAAGUCAAAUGUGAAAUCCCGGGGCUUAACCUCGGAAGUGCAUUUGAUACUGUUAGGCUUGAGUAUGGGAGAGGGAAGUGGAAUUUCUGGUGUAGAGGUGAAAUUCGUAGAUAUCAGAAGGAACACCGGUGGCGAAGGCGACUUCCUGGACCAAUACUGACGCUGAGGCGCGAAGGCGUGGGUAGCAAACAGGAUUAGAUACCCUGGUAGUCCACGCAGUAAACGUUGUUCACUAGGUGAAGCGGGUAUUGACCCCUGCUGUGCCGUAGUUAACACAUUAAGUGAACCGCCUGGGAAGUACGAUCGCAAGAUUAAAACUCAAAGGAAUUGACGGGGGCCCGCACAAGCGGUGGAGCAUGUGGUUUAAUUCGAUGCAACGCGAAGAACCUUACCUGGGUUUGACAUCUCGGGAAUUUUAUUGAAAAAUAGAAGUGCCCUUCGGGGAGCCCGAAGACAGGUGCUGCAUGGCUGUCGUCAGCUCGUGUCGUGAGAUGUUGGGUUAAGUCCCGCAACGAGCGCAACCCUUGUCUUUAGUUGCCAUCAUUUAGUUGGGGACUCUAGAGACACUGCCCCGGUUAACGGGGAGGAAGGUGGGGAUGACGUCAAGUCCUCAUGGCCUUUAUAUCCAGGGCUACACACGUGCUACAAUGGGCUGUACAAAGAGUCGCGAGUCUGUGAAGAUGAGCUAAUCUCAAAAAGCAGUCCUCAGUUCGGAUUGGAGUCUGCAACUCGACUCCAUGAAGUUGGAAUCGCUAGUAAUCGCGGAUCAGCACGCCGCGGUGAAUACGUUCCCGGGCCUUGUACACACCGCCCGUCACACCAUGAGAGUUGGUUGUACCAGAAGUUGUUGGGCAAACCCUUAUUUAUAAGGGAUGCAGGCACCUAAGGUAUGAUCGAUGAUUAGGGUGAAGUCGUAACAAGGUA
rnacentral:rRNA from 1 species